rnacentral:rRNA from 1 species
CGUGCAGGUGGUCUUGUAAGUUGGAUGUGAAAGCUCCCGGCUUAACUGGGAGAGGUCGUUCAAAACUGCAGGACUUGAGAUUGGUAGAGGGAGGUGGAAUUCCGGGUGUAGUGGUGAAAUGCGUAGAUAUCCGGAGGAACACCAGUGGCGAAAGCGGCCUCCUGGACCAAUUCUGACACUCAGACGCGAAAGCUAAGGUAGCAAACG